rnacentral:rRNA from 1 species
CUCGGACCGCGACCCCAGGUCAGGCG